rnacentral:rRNA from 1 species
GAGGGGUGCAAACGUUAUUCGGAUUUAUUGGGUGUAAAGGGUGUGUAGACGGGUUAUUAAGUUCGUUGUUAAAUCUUCUGGCCUAACCAGAAGCUCGCGAUGAAAACUAAUAGUCUUGAGGAUGGAAGAGAGAAGUGGAAUUCUCGGAGUAGCGGUAAAAUGCGUAGAUCUCGAGAGGAACACCGAUGGCGAAGGCAGCUUCUUGGUCCAUUCCUGACGUUGAAACACGAAAGCGUGGGGAGCAAACAGGAUUAGAUACCCUGGGUAGUCCACGCCGUAAACGAUGAUCACUAGAUGUUGGCCCUGUUUUGCAGGGUUAGUAUCGAAGCUAACGCGUUAAGUGAUCCACCUGGGAACUACGAUCGCAAGAUCAA